GACAGAGGGUGCAAACGUUGUUCGGAAUUACUGGGCGUAAAGCGCGUGUAGGCGGCCCUGCAAGUCGUAUGUGAAAUCCCACGGCUCAACCGUGGAAGUGCAUUCGAAACUGCAGGGCUAGAGUCCUGGAGAGGAAGGUGGAAUGCUUGGUGUAGAGGUGAAAUUCGUAGAUAUCAAGCGGAACACCGGUGGCGAAGGCGGCCUUCUGGACAGUGACUGACGCUGAGACGCGAAAGCGUGGGGAGCAAACAGG
rnacentral:rRNA from 1 species